GACGAACGCUGGCGGCGUGCCUAAUACAUGCAAGUCGAACGCAGUGGGGACGGGUGAGUAACACGUGGGUAACCUCCCAUCAGAGGGGAUAACACUUUGAAACAGGUGCUAAACCGAUACUGAUGGAUGGACCCGGGGUGCAUUAGCUAGUUGGUGAGGUAACGGCUCACCAAGGCCACGAUUCAUAGCUGGUCUGAGAGGGUGAUCGGCCACACUGGGACUGAGACACGGCCCAGACUCCUACGGGAGGCAGCAGUAGGGAAUCUUCGGCAAUGGACGAAAGUCUGAUGGAGCAACGCCGCGUGAGUGAAGAAGGUUUUCGGAUCGUAAAAUACUGUGGGGAGAGAAGCGGUAUCUAAAAAAGAAGCAAAGGCUAACUACGUGUCAGCAGCCGCGGUAAUAC
rnacentral:rRNA from 1 species